AGCGAACGCUGGCGGCAGGCUUAACACAUGCAAGUCGAGCGGGCCCUUCGGGGUCAGCGGCAGACGGGUGAGUAACACGUGGGAACGUACCCUUUGGUUCGGAAUAACGCUGGGAAACUAGCGCUAAUACCGGAUACGCCCUUGUGGGGGAAGGGUUGCUGCCGAAGGGGCGGGCAGAGUCUGCUUAGCUAGUUGGUGGGGUAAUGGCCUACGAAGGCGACGAGCAGUACGUGGUCUGUGAGGAUGCUCAGGGACACUGGGAGUGAGACGCGGCGCAGACUCUUGCGGGAGGGGGCAAAGCGUGAUAUAGGCCCGUGGGCCCAAGGCAGAUCCACCCCUGCCGGGUGAGCGCUGUAGGCCUUGGGGUUGUAAAGCUCUUUUGUCCGGGACUAUAAUGACGGUACCGAAAGAAUAAGCACCGGCUAACUUCGUG
rnacentral:rRNA from 1 species